GAUUAACGCUAGCGGCAGGCCUAAUACAUGCAAGUUGAACGGCAACACAGGUAGCAAUACUGGCUGGCGAGUGGCGCACGGGUGCGUAACACGUAUGCAACCUACCCUAUACAGACGAAUAACCUUUAGAAAUGAGGGCUAAUACGCCGUAGUAUUACAGAAGGGCAUCUAUUUGUAAUUAAAGAUUUAUCGGUAUAGGAUGGGCAUGCGUUCCAUUAGUUAGUUGGUAAGGUAACGGCUUACCAAGACGAUGAUGGGUAGGUGAUCGGAGAGGACGUACCACUGCACCGGUACUGCGACACGGACCAGAAUGGGACGGAAGGCAGGAGUAAGGAACACUGUGCGAUGGAGGCGAGGCGGACCAAGCCAUGCCGCGUGCAGGAAGACGGCCUUAUGGGUUGUAAGCUGCUUUUAUACGGGAAUAAUAGAGUGUACGCGUACAUUUAUGCAAGUAUCGUAUGAAUAAGCAUCGGCUAACUCCGUG
rnacentral:rRNA from 1 species